rnacentral:misc_RNA from 1 species
GAGCGUCAUUUAAACCUUCAAGCUCUGCUUGGUGUUGGGUGUUUGUUCCGCCUCAGCGCGUGGACUCGCCUCAAAUCUAUUGGCAGCCGGUAUGUUGGCUUCGUGCGCAGCACAUUUGCAAACGAUUUCAGCAGACCCCCUUCCACAAGCCUCUUUUUUACUUUGACCUCGGAUCAGGUAGGGAUACCCGCUGAACUUAA